rnacentral:rRNA from 1 species
CCCUUAGACGUUCUGGGCCGCACGCGCGCUACACUGACGAAGGCAACGAGCUUUCCUUUACCGAAAGGUACGGGUAAUCUUUUGAAACUUCGUCGUGCUGGGGAUAGAUCCUUGCAAUUUUUGAUCUUAAACGAGGAAUGCCUAGUAAGCGCAAGUCAUCAACUUGCGUUGAUUACGUCCCUGCCCUUUGUACACACCGCCCGUCGCUACUACCGAUUGAAUGGUUUAGUUAGGCCUUCGGAUCCGCGACUCGUUUUGUGGAGAAGUUGGACAAACUCAGUCAUUUAGAGGAAGUAAAAGUCGUAACA